rnacentral:rRNA from 1 species
UGGGGAAUAUUGGACAAUGGGCGAAAGCCUGAUCCAGCCAUGCCGCGUGUGUGAAGAAGGUCUUCGGAUUGUAAAGCACUUUAAGUUGGGAGGAAGGGCAGUAAGCUAAUACCUUGCUGUUUUGACGUUACCGACAGAAUAAGCACCGGCUAACUCUGUGCCUAG